GGAUUGCAAUGAGCCGAAUUUACACCCCUUAGCGAAGAUCGAUUGGAGGGCAAGUCUGGUGCCAGCAGCCGCGGUAAUUCCAGCUCCAAUAGCGUAUAUUAAAGUUGUUGCAGUUAAAAAGCUCGUAGUUGGAUUUCUGGGAGGGUGCCGCCGUCCGGCGUGUCCGUGUGCAGUGGCGCCCUUCCAUCCUUCUGUUAGCGUCUCUUGGCAUUCAUUUGCUGGUGGCGGGCUCAGAUAUUUUACCUUGAGAAAAUUAGAGUGUUUCAGGCAGGCUAGGCCGGAAUACAUUAGCAUGGAAUAAUGGAAUAGGACUACGGUCUCUUUGUUGGUUUGAGGGACUGCAGUAAUGAUUAAUAGGGGUAGUUGGGGGCAUUAGUAUUUAAUUGUCAGAGGUGGAAUUCUCAGAUUUGUUAAAGACUAACUUAUGCGAAAGCAUUUGCCAAGGAUGUUUUCAUUAAUCAAGAACGAAAGUUAGGGGAUCAAAGACGAUCAGAUACCGUCCUAGUCUUAACCAUAAACUAUGCCGACUC
rnacentral:rRNA from 1 species